CUCCCCCACGGGGCCUCCUGAUGCCCUAGGGUGAGCGCGCGGGCACGAGGAAGCCGGUGGGAAUCCGGCACAGUCGCGCUACUGUGACACCUCCUCCAGACGGUCAUCACGAUCGUCGGGCGGCGGUGGAGUCAGACCCUCGAGUCCGUCCACCACCCCA
rnacentral:sRNA from 17 species